AUUGAACGCUGGCGGCAGGCCUAACACAUGCAAGUCGAGCGAGCGGCGGACGGGUGAGUAAUGUCUGGGAAACUGCCUGAUGGCGGGGGAUAACUACUGGAAACGGUAGCUAAUACCGCAUACCAUCAGAUGUGCCCAGAUGGGAUGAGCUAGUAGGUGGGGUAACGGCUCACCUGGGCGACGAGCCCUAGCUGGUCUGAGAGGAUGACCAGCAACAAUGGAACUGAGACACGGUCCAGCCUCCUACGGGAGGCAGCAGUGGGGAAUAUUGGACAAUGGGCGCAAGCCUGAUGCAGCCAUGCCGCGGGUGUGAAGAAGGCUUUCGGGUUGUAAAGCACUUUCAGCGGGGAGGCGUUACCCGCAGAAGAAGCACCGGCUAACUCCGUGCCAGCAGCCGCGGUAAUAC
rnacentral:rRNA from 1 species